UACGAAGGGGGCUAGCGUUGCUCGGAAUCACUGGGCGUAAAGGGCGCGUAGGCGGCCGAUUAAGUCGGGGGUGAAAGCCUGUGGCUCAACCACAGAAUUGCCUUCGAUACUGGUUGGCUUGAGACCGGAAGAGGACAGCGGAACUGCGAGUGUAGAGGUGAAAUUCGUAGAUAUUCGCAAGAACACCAGUGGCGAAGGCGCUCACUGGCCCGGUACUGACGCUGAGGUGCGAAAGCCAGGGGAGCGAACGGG
rnacentral:rRNA from 1 species